rnacentral:rRNA from 1 species
GGAUCAUUAAUGAAAAACUUCUUAAACAGUUUUUUUUAUAUCCCAUUGUCUACCUACCAUGUUGCUUCCACUGGACCUUAUGUAAGACCUUUGGCUUGUGUGAAUAAACUCAAGUCAGAGAGUUGCCAGUGGCAGGACUAUUUACCAAAACUUGAUUAAAAACACAUUGUCUGAAUCUUUUGCUUCAAUAUAAUAAAACUUUCAACAACGGAUCUCUAGGCUCUUGCAUCGAUGAAGAACGCAGUGAAAUGCGAUAAGUAAUGUGAAUUGCAGAAUCUCGUGAAUCAUCGAAUCUUUGAACGCACAUUGCGCCCUAUGGUAUUCCGUAGGGCAUGCCUGUCUGAGCGUCAGCUCCCACCCACUCAGGUAUCUGUUUAUCGGAUGCUUGGAAUGCUUUGGAGAGGCGUCUUAUUAUAGAAACGCCCCCCAGAAAUUAAUAGGCAGUAUGGUUUGCACCUGAACCAGAGACGUAAUAAUAAUAAAAUCGUUUUGUUUAGGUAUAAUUGUGCUUGCC